rnacentral:lncRNA from 1 species
CCAGACCAAACCAACCCCCCAUCAAUCCUCUCUUGUCUCUUGAGAGACCAUUUCAUCUCCACCUCACGCCAUCGUCCGCCGCUGGUUGGAAAUCUCCCCUACCGGAGGGAAGUCUCCAAAUCACUUAGCAUUUACACCAUAGACUCUCCAUGAACUCCCCUUUCCAACCCCUAAAACCAUUUCCUUCAAUUCCUAGCCGAUUUGCUCGAAUAUCAAAUCCAAAAUCCGGCCAAAAUCGCAUUUUACCCAAACCCAACCAAAUUAACACCAUGUGUUCUCCUCAUUUUCCUCUUUACGAAUCUGUAACUCUUGACCCUCGCAUUAUCCGGGAAAUUCUCGAAUAAUGGAUUAAAAGCUGCCCUAAAACCAUAAGUUUCGUGAAUCGAGAUUUCUGUGAAUGGCUUGACCAUUACAAGGUUUAGCCGUGUAUUUUCUCAUUGAAAACACACGUUUAAACACUAAUAUUGGUCCAGCAACUUCAAUCCGAGUCGUCUCGAGUCAGUUUCAAUUUGACACAUAUUGGCUGAACUUUGUGAGUUUAUCAAACCUCCUUAUUCCUUUUUCUUAUACAAUUGUUUGUUUUGUUCCAAAUUUUAUUUGAGUUGUUUCAUGUUAGUUUAUUUUUGAUUUAUUCUUGUUCUGUUUUUCUUCAGUAAUUGUGAAGAUUAAGUUUUUCGAUUUAGUUUCAAUUGUAAACUGUUUCUGAAUUUCAGUAACUUCAAUAUUUUUUGGUUUGAUUGAUUUUAUUCUAGUCUUGAUUCGAUUCUAGUUAUAUUUAGUUUUAACUUCGAUUGGUUAAGUAUUGGUUGGAUUUCCUAUUAGCUUUUAUCUAUUAGUUAGUCUGGUUUGGUGUUUCAAAUCGAUUUUGGGUGUUGUUUGAUUUUGUUUGAAUGAAUUAAUAUUUCUGGUUGUUUGUUUAAUUUAGUUUUACUUGUUUAUUUAAUUUAGUACUCAUUUGCAACUCAAUUAGGCUUAAGAUUUGGAUAUAGUUGAAUAUGUAGUUGAAUUAAAUUUAUUUAUAUUUUAACUUACGUUAGUUUGUUUGAUUGGGUUAGCAGUUUGGGAAAUUCAGGUUCCCAGUAAUCAACUUGGGGUCUCCUAAAGGUGAUAAUGUUGCACUACCGAUUUUAAUAAUAGCAUUAGGAUAGUAUAGCACUAAUAAGGGCUGCUAACUUGGGUAGAGGGCACAAGGUAUAUAUUAGUUAAUAAACACUAUUUUAGUGAGAUGGUAAAAAAUGAAAGACAACUAGUAGUGGAGACAACACUUGCUGAUUUUUGGGGCUGAAUAAUAAUUAAUUGAACUUAGUGCCAGAAAAUGAGGAGAAAAGGGAUAUUAAGAGCUUAUAAGACCUAAGUUUAAACAUUCUGUCAGGGAUGAGAUUGAACACAUUCUGAAAACAAAGUCCAAAAGGAAAAAAGAGAAAAAGGGACACUCUCUGAAAAACUGCAGAGAUUUCAGCCAUCAAAAUAUAGUCUCUCCUUCUAGUUUUUUUAGUUUUUUUUUAAUUUGAGAUUCAAAACACAAAAAACCAAAAACAAUAGAAAAUAUAAAAAUCAAAAUAUAGUAUUGUUUCAUUGCCUAGUUUGGCCCAUCUUUCAAUUCCUAUUUGAAUUCCUCUGAUCCUGCUUGAUCUGUGGGUUUUCAAAGGCGUGUGGAGGUAUUUGGUAGCUGGUUGAGUAAGAUUGGGUUGCAUAUUUGAGCAUUUGACACUAUUUUGGAGAAUUUAUCUGGGUUUUUAUUCCUACUGUUGCUGUGUUCACUUUAUUUUUGGGCUAUUCCUUCUAUUUUCUGGGUUUUCAAGUGCUACUGUGUUGCUACUCGAAUUUUGAUGCUACUGACCUUCUCUCCUACUUAUUUCUGUUCCUUUCCAGGUAUUUUUCCGACUUCAUGUGGUGUUGAAAAUUUGAAUUGAGGAAAUAAAAUCUGGACCAUGUUAAUCUGAUAUCAAUGUGUGCAAUUUUGUGUCAAUUGGAAUUGUAAUUUAACAAUAGUGGUAGUAAAGACUGGGUUGAUUGAAACACUUGAAUAAUUGUGAUAAUUAAACUUUAAUUGGACUGUUCAUUUUUAAAUCUAGGAUUUGUUGAAUUUGUGCUUAUAAACUCAUGAAUACACUAGUUGAUUAUGCGGUGUAGUAGCAGUUGCAGCUGAACUUAUCUGGUUUCUGCUUGCAAUUGUAGUUUAACACCGUGAACUAUUCGAUUAAUGUUUGAGUUGUGUGGUAAUGAAUACUAGCAUUAGUUAAAUCAAUUGAUACGCUAAAUGUAUGGUCAAGCUAGU